rnacentral:rRNA from 1 species
CAUACCGAAAGGUAUGCUAAUACGGGAUAAUAUAUUUGAGAGGCAUCUCUUGAAUAUCAAAGGUGAGCCAGUACAGGAUGGACCCGCGUCUGAUUAGCUAGUUGGUAAGGUAACGGCUUACCAAGGCGACGAUCAGUAGCCGACCUGAGAGGGUGAUCGGCCACAUUGGAACUGAGACACGGUCCAAACUCCUACGGGAGGCAGCAGUGGGGAAUAUUGCACAAUGGGCGAAAGCCUGAUGCAGCAACGCCGCGGGAGUGAUGAAGGCCUUCGGGUCGUAAAACUCUGUCCUCAAGGAAGAUAAUGACGGUACUGGAGGAGGAAGCCCCGGCUAACUACGUGCCAGCAGCCGCGGUAAUACGUAGGGGGCUAGCGUUAUCCG